CGACGCGGUCGCCGUUGGGCAGCCGUGCCGCGAUGGCUGCGAACCGUUGGCGUACGACGGUUCCGACGCCGUCCGUUUCGUCCA
rnacentral:tRNA from 1 species